GUUAUAGCAAGUGUGCCGGUAUUGUUAAGCCGGCGCAAGGUGAGACUGGGGGUCAAGGGUGGUACUAAAUUGAAUCCCGAUUCAAAAGUCAUUGCUACUUCAGCUUUCUCUUCAAACAGGGCUGCAUAGUUAGUUGGAAGUAGACGGGAACAAAAAGCAACCAUAUUCUUUCUGCACGGAAUCAAGAAAGAAAUAGGAUAGCACAGGAAAUACCUACCGGACCACACGGACGGCUCUAGGGCACUCCGACCGAACUAGAUCUCAGCCCAACUUUUUUCUUGUCUAUCUGAACCCACUUUAGUAUCCACUCGGGCCCACCUUGCCUUCUUUCUCUCACUAGUCUUUCCGCCUAGACACCUACUUCAACGUGCGUAGGCCUCUUCUCCUAUGCCGUAGCGGAGAAGCUCUGUCCGUCAUUUAGCAUCAGUGCGUUCUGAAGCGGCUGCAGCAUCUGUUGUCACUUUCACCACCUAUACCACUUUCUAAAUCUGUGCUUCUUAAGCUGCUAGCUCGAUAUUAUGGUCUGGCUUUCGAACCUUUAGGGCUUUAGCAACCAAUGCAGGUGAACGACUUCCUUUCGACUUCGUUUUAGUCUUAGUCUCCUCUUUGAACCUGCCCUUGCUUUCACUAUCUGACUUUCUGGCUUUCCCUGAUGGAUUGUCUUUGCCAACUUGUUGGGUGCCAGCCGUCCUUGGAGCGGUUUUUUCAUCCCCUGCUAUUGAAUCAGCUGGUAUAGAAGAGGCUAGUACACAAGCUACUAAAGCUAGCCAGGGAAGUGGGACAGGAACCUUAACCAUCGACUUCUGACUUUCCUGUUCUGGUGGAGUCUUCUCUAAAGGGGGUGAAAAAGAAUAGGAAGAGAUUGAAGAAUAAAGAGAUAUUAUCUUAUAUAGUAUAGAAAGAAGCGGAAUAGGAGCAGAUGGUUCAUAGUUCAUGUAGCAGUGGAUUAGAGCGAGGAGAUAGCUGUGAUGUGAUAGCUGUUGUUGAAUCAGUUGCCUUUGGCGUAUGUAAUAGAAUAUAAGUUUCAAAAAAUCCUAUCUGCCUUAAGGAAUGAAUUUAUAGAGAUAGAGGAAGAGAAGAAGCUAUUUGCGGGAGAAGGGCGGUUUGACUCUAUAUACGCUAUUUUAGUCGCUUCAUGACGGAUGCGAAAGUCACCUUACGAAACUUUCGUUAUUGGG
rnacentral:misc_RNA from 1 species